GCUUCUUAGAGGGACAACUGGCGUUCAGCCAUACGAAAUUGAGCAAUAACAGGUCUGUGAUGCCCUUAGAUGUCCGGGGCUGCACGCGCGCUACACUGAAGGAAUCAGCGUGUAUACUACCUAGUCUGAAAAGACCGGGUAACCCCUUGAAACUCCUUCGUGCUUGGGAUAGGGACUUGCAAUUAUUUCCCUUGAACGAGGAAUUCCCAGUAAGUGCGGGUCAUAAGCUCGCGUUGAUUACGUCCCUGCCCUUUGUACUGAGCG
rnacentral:rRNA from 6 species